AACGAACGCUGGCGGCAUGCCUAACACAUGCAAGUCGAACGAGACCUUCGGGUCUAGUGGCGCACGGGUGCGUAACGCGUGGGAACCUGCCCUUAGGUUCGGAAUAACUCCCCGAAAGGGGUGCUAAUACCGGAUAAUGUCUUCGGACCAAAGAUUUAUCGUCUUUGGAUGGGCCCGCGUUGGAUUAGCUAGUUGGUAGGGUAAAAGCCUACAAAGGCGACGAUCCAUAGCUGGUCUGAGAGGAUGUUCAGCAACACUGGGGCUGGGACACGGCCCAGAUCCUUCCGGAAGGCAGCAGGGGGGAUUAUGGGAUAUUGGGUGAAAGCCGAACCCAGCAAGGCCGCGUGGGUGAUGAGGGCCUAAGGGUGGUAAGCUCUUUUACCCGGGAUGAUAAUGACAGUACCGGGAGAAUAAGCUCCGGCUAACUCCGUG
rnacentral:rRNA from 1 species